UCCCUCAUAGCUCAGUUGGUAGAUCAUCUGCCUGCAAUGCAGGAGACCUGGGUUUGAUCCCUGGGUUGGGAA
rnacentral:tRNA from 1 species